CCUACGGGGCGCUGCAGUGGGGAAUAUUGGACAAUGGGCGAAAGCCUGAUCCAGCCAUGCCGCGUGUGUGAAGAAGGCCUUCGGGUUGUAAAGCACUUUCAGUGGGGAAGAAAGCCUUGGGGCUAAUACCCUCGAGGAAGGACAUCACCCACAGAAGAAGCACCGGCUAACUCCGUGCCAGCAGCCGCGGUAAUACGGAGGGUGCGAGCGUUAAUCGGAAUUACUGGGCGUAAAGCGCGCGUAGGCGGUCUGAUAAGCCGGUUGUGAAAGCCCCGGGCUCAACCUGGGAACGGCAUCCGGAACUGUCAGGCUAGAGUGCAGGAGAGGAAGGUAGAAUUCCCGGUGUAGCGGUGAAAUGCGUAGAGAUCGGGAGGAAUACCAGUGGCGAAGGUGGCCUUCUGGACUGACACUGACGCUGAGGUGCGAAAGCGUGGGUAGCAAACAGGAUUAGAUACCCGUGUAGUC
rnacentral:rRNA from 1 species